GACAGAGGGUGCAAACGUUGUUCGGAAUUACUGGGCGUAAAGCGCAUGUAGGCGGCCGCGCAGGUCGGAUGUGAAAUCCCUCGGCUCAACCGAGGACGUGCAUUCGAAACCGCGCGGCUCGAGUCCCGGAGAGGGUGGUGGAAUUCUCGGCGUAGAGGUGAAAUUCGUAGAUAUCGGGAGGAACACCGGCGGCGAAAGCGGCCACCUGGACGAGGACUGACGCUGAGAGUGCGAAAGCGUGGGGAGCAAACAGG
rnacentral:rRNA from 1 species